GUGGGGAAUAUUGGACAAUGGGCGAAAGCCUGAUCCAGCCAUGCCGCGUGUGUGAAGAAGGUCUUCGGAUUGUAAAGCACUUUAAGUUGGGAGGAAGGGCAGUAAGUUAAUACCUUGCUGUUUUGACGUUACCGACAGAAUAAGCACCGGCUAACUUCGUGCCAGCAGCCGCGGUAAUACGAAGGGUGCAAGCGUUAACCGGAAUUACUGGUCGUAAAGCGCGCGUAGGUGGUUUUGUAAGUUGGAGGUGAAAUCCCCGGGCUCAACCUGGGACCUGCCUCCAAAACUGCAUGACUAGAGUACGGUAGAGGGUAGUGGAAUUUCCUGUGUAGCGGUGAAAUGCGUAGAUAUAGGAAGGAACACCAGUGGCGAAGGCGACUACCUGGACUGAUACUGACACUGAGGUGCGAAAGCGUGGGGAGCAAACAGGAUUAGAAACCCGUGUAGUCC
rnacentral:rRNA from 1 species